AGUGAACGCUGGCGGUAGGCCUAACACAUGCAAGUCGAACGGCAGCACAGUAAGAGCUUGCUCUUACGGGUGGCGAGUGGCGGACGGGUGAGGAAUACAUCGGAAUCUACUUUUUCGUGGGGGAUAACGUAGGGAAACUUACGCUAAUACCGCAUACGACCUACGGGUGGAAGCAGGGGAUCUUCGGACCUUGCGCGAUUGAAUGAGCCGAUGUCGGAUUAGCUAGUUGGCGGGGUAAAGGCCCACCAAGGCGACGAUCCGUAGCUGGUCUGAGAGGAUGAUCAGCCAAACUGGAACUGAGACACGGUCCAGACUCCUAAGGGAGGCAGCAGUGGGGAAUAUUGGACAAUGGGCGCAAGCCUGAUCCAGCCAUACCGCGUGGGUGAAGAAGGCCUUCGGGUUGUAAAGCCCUUUUGUUGGGAAAGAAAAGCAGCAGGUUAAUACCCCGCUGUUCUGACGGUACCCAAAGAAUAAGCACCGGCUAACUUCGUG
rnacentral:rRNA from 1 species